UACUUGCACCGUGGAUUAGUGGCGAACGGGUGAGUAACACGUGAGUAACCUGCCCUUAACUCUGGGAUAAGCCUGGGAAACUGGGUCUAAUACCGGAUAUGACUCCUCAUCGCAUGGUGGGGGGUGGAAAGCUUUUUGUGGUUUUGGAUGGACUCGCGGCCUAUCAGCUUGUUGGUGAGGUAAUGGCUCACCAAGGCGACGACGGGUAGCCGGCCUGAGAGGGUGACCGGCCACACUGGGACUGAGACACGGCCCAGACUCCUACGGGAGGCAGCAGUGGGGAAUAUUGCACAAUGGGCGCAAGCCUGAUGCAGCGACGCCGCGUGAGGGAUGACGGCCUUCGGGUUGUAAACCUCUUUCAGUAGGGAAGAAGCGAAAGUGACGGUACCUGCAGAAGAAGCGCCGGCUAACUACGUGCCAGCAGCCGCGGUAAUACGUAGGGCGCAAGCGUUAUCCGGAAUUAUUGGGCGUAAAGAGCUCGUAGGCGGUUUGUCGCGUCUGCCGUGAAAGUCCGGGGCUCAACUCCGGAUCUGCGGUGGGUACGGGCAGACUAGAGUGAUGUAGGGGAGACUGGAAUUCCUGGUGUAGCGGUGAAAUGCGCAGAUAUCAGGAGGAACACCGAUGGCGAAGGCAGGUCUCUGGGCAUUAACUGACGCUGAGGAGCGAAAGCAUGGGGAGCGAACAGGAUUAGAUACCCUGGUAGUCCAUGCCGUAAACGUUGGGCACUAGGUGUGGGGGACAUUCCACGU
rnacentral:rRNA from 1 species